UACCUAUAACUGUUGCUUCGGCGGGUAGGGUCUCCGCGACCCUCCCGGCCUCCCGCCUCCGGGCGGGUCGGCGCCCGCCGGAGGAUAACCAAACUCUGAUUUAACGACGUUUCUUCUGAGUGGUACAAGCAAAUAAUCAAAACUUUUAACAACGGAUCUCUUGGUUCUGGCAUCGAUGAAGAACGCAGCGAAAUGCGAUAAGUAAUGUGAAUUGCAGAAUUCAGUGAAUCAUCGAAUCUUUGAACGCACAUUGCGCCCGCCAGCAUUCUGGCGGGCAUGCCUGUUCGAGCGUCAUUUCAACCCUCAAGCUCUGCUUGGUGUUGGGGCCCUACAGCUGAUGUAGGCCCUCAAAGGUAGUGGCGGACCCUCCCGGAGCCUCCUUUGCGUAGUAACUUUACGUCUCGCACUGGGAUCCGGAGGGACUCUUGCCGUAAAACCCCCCAAUUUUCCAAAGGUUGACCUCGGAUCAGGUAGGAAUACCCGCUGAACUUAAGCAUAUCAAUAAGCGGAGGAAAAGAAACCAACAGGGAUUGCCUCAGUAACGGCGAGUGAAGCGGCAA
rnacentral:rRNA from 1 species